rnacentral:rRNA from 1 species
AUUGAACGCUGGCGGCAUGCCUUACACAUGCAAGUCGAACGGUAACGCGGGGCAACCUGGCGACGAGUGGCGAACGGGUGAGUAACGCAUCGGAACGUGCCCAAUAGUGGGGGAUAGCCCGGCGAAAGCCGGAUUAAUACCGCAUACGACCUACGGGUGAAAGCAGGGGAUCGCAAGACCUUGCGCUAAUGGAGCGGCCGAUGUCUGAUUAGCUAGUUGGCGGGGUAAAGGCCCACCAAGGCGACGAUCAGUAGCUGGUCUGAGAGGACGACCAGCCAAACAGGGACUGAGACACGGCCCAGACUCCUACGGGAGGCAGCAGUGGGGAAUUUUGGACAAUGGGCGCAAGCCUGAGCCAGCCAUGCCGCGUGCGGGAAGAAGGCCUUCGGGUUGUAAACCGCUUUUGGCAGGAACGAAACGGCGCAAGCUAAUACCUUGCGCUAAUGACGGUACCUGCAGAAUAAGCACCGGCUAACUACGUGCCAGCAGCCGCCGUAAGAC